GAUGAACGCUGGCGGCGUGCCUAACACAUGCAAGUCGAACGGAAAGGCCCUGCUCUUGUGGGGUGCACGUGUGGCGAACGGGUGAGUAACACGCGAGUAUACUCCCCCUGACAUAGGGAUAACAUCUGGAAAAUCGGGCGCAUACCGCGUAGGAGCUACUGCAGCACGGUGGGGGUUGGUAAGAUUCGGCGGUUGGGGAUGGUAUCGAGGCUUAUCCGCUUCAUGGUGAGGUAGUGGCUUACCAAGGCUUUGACGGGUAGCCGGCCUGGGAGGGUGACCGGCCACAUUGGGACUGAGGGACGGACCAGUCGCCAACGGGAGGCAACGGUGGGAAGUAUGACGGAGUAGGCGGGAGCCUGAUACGGCGACGCCGCGUGCGUGAUGACGGGCUUCGAGUUAUGAACCACUUUCGCCGGAGACAAACCGUGAUUGACGGUAAUGGAUAAAGAAGCACCGGCUAACUACGUG
rnacentral:rRNA from 1 species